GAAAUGCCUCACCAUGCCAGAGGACUUGAUAGAUCGGUUUAAUAUUAGAUGACAGUAUUCCAAGAUGUUCUUCCUUUCUCGUUUCUCUACAAGCUAACCCUGUUGCUAAGGUCUCCUUCAGUUGAGUUGACACAAAAUUGACAACUAUCACCGCAAUCAAGAUCAGCACAAAACCUGAAACAACUGAAGCUGCAAUCCGAGCUGUACUACUGUUUUCACUUGAAGAAGGCGGGCAUUGAUUUGUGCCUCCACCUCCCAGACUUGCAUCCGUGCUAUGUAUUAAUCAAACAUAUAAAGCUCCAAGGCGUUUAUGAUGGGGGGAAGAGUUGACGUAUUGGUUUUCUGGAGCACAAUCUCGUACUUAGAUUCUGGUUUCUCAGGUGCUACACUUUCCACGUUUCUGCACCUCAGCAAAGUGCAAGUAGAUAAGAAACUGAUCAGACUUAUUAGUAGGCUCCCAUUCGAGUUUCAAUGGAUUGCUAGUGUUUUCUGGUGCGAUAGCUGUCUCCAUGACUACAGCAGGUUUCAGAGUGUAACAGUUUCUCGUUCCCUGGGGAAAACUUCUCAGUGUCACAAGCUGCUGUUGAAGGGAUGAGCUCCUGUAUGCUGGUGGUAUGGUCUUGCUUUCGCCAGCAUCGAUGAACCCGGAAUCUGAUACAUAGUGCAAACCAGUAUAGCUAUCCGUGUAGUUGGAAUCUGCAGGUCAAAUGUUUUUGAGUUUACCGUCCGUUCGGCGUUGCUUUGGGACACUCAUCAUUAUUCUGCAGGAUGACUAAUAAUGCAAUUAAGACCAAGACAAAUGUUGAAACAACUGAUGCUAUCCAGGUAAUAGAUUUGUUACUUCUCUUUUUGCAUGAAGCUGAUGAGCAUCGAUCUGUAUUUCCAUCUCUAAGACUUGCAUCCAUACUACAUAUUAAACCAAAAGGUAAGAUCGAUUAUCUAUGUACAAUGUAAUUCCAUCUGCUAAGUUUUACCAAUGUUUCUGGCCAUUGUUUCAACUUUCACUCACUAAUUCAUAUAUUUUUUGUCUGUAUUAAUCUGAAGGAAGUAAAGCACACCUUAAGGACAGACGUCCGCUUUUAGACUUUGACAGGAGGUCUGAGGGAACUAAACCUGUGAAAUUGUUCCCUUGUAUGUUUCUGCAAAGAUUAAAAACAACUGUUACAACAGUGCUGCACAGAGAGGAGGUAUACGAAAUUGUACCAUUACAGUGGAUGUACAACAUGGAAAUGCUUCAAGAGACCAUACUGAUAAACUGAGGGUAAACAAUUAACAGCACCCUUUAAGUUAAACUUACAGGAUUCCCAAGAAGGCCAGCUGCGAUAAGAAAUCAGGUAUCUCUCCGGACAAGUUAUUGUUUGACAAAUCCCUGAAAAGUUUUAUGAUUGUUGUGUGUUUAGUUGCAUUAUCACAAUCUAGUUUAAUUAGUUUCUCUGCAUGAUUACGAUGUAAUGUUCUUACAGAGAUCUUAACAUUGUGAGGUUGGCUAUAGAUGAAGCAAUUUUCCCACUCAAUCUGCUUGAGGACAAGUUCCUGAAUAAAAGUAGAAUUUUGGAUUCAGUAAAUGUGAAGAUAAAAUUGAAAAGUUAAUGAUUUAUAAGUUGAAUGAAACUAAAAGCAAGUGCGUACAAG